rnacentral:rRNA from 1 species
CGGAGGGUGCGAGCGUUAUCCGGAUUUACUGGGUUUAAAGGGUGUGUAGGCGGGCUUUUAAGUCAGUGGUGAAAUCUCCGGGCUCAACCUGGAAACUGCCAUUGAUACUAUUAGUCUUGAAUUUUGUUGAGGUAGGCGGAAUAAGUCAUGUAGCGGUGAAAUGCUUAGAUAUGACUUAGAACACCAAUUGCGAAGGCAGCUUGCUAAACAAAUAUUGACGCUGAGGCACGAAAGCGUGGGGAUCAAACAGGAUUAGAUACCCUGGUAGUCCACGCCCUAAACGAUGAUUACUCGACAUACGCGAUACACAGUGUGUGUCUGAGCGAAAGCAUUAAGUAAUCCACCUGGGAAGUACGACCGCAAGGUUG